rnacentral:rRNA from 1 species
AGCGAACGCUGGCGGCAGGCUUAACACAUGCAAGUCGAACGGGCACUUCGGUGCUAGUGGCAGACGGGUGAGUAACACGUGGGAACGUACCUUUCGGUUCGGAAGGAUCCAGGGAAACUUGGACUAAUACCGGAUACGCCCUUCGGGGGAAAGAUUCAUCGCCGAUAGAUCGGCCUCCGUCUUAUUGGCUAGUUGGUGAGGUAAUGGCUCACCAAGGGGAGGAUCAGUAGCUGGUCUGAGAGGAUGAUCAGCCACAUUGGGACUGAGACAAGGCCCAAACUCCGGCGGGAGGCAGCAGUGGGGAAUAUUGGACACUGGGCGUAAGCCUGAUCCAGCCAUGCCGCGUGAGUGAUGAAGGCCUUAGGGUUGUAAAGCUCUUUUGUCCGGGAAGAUAAUGCCUGUACCGGAAGAAUAAGCCCCGGCUAACUUCGU